rnacentral:tRNA from 1 species
GGUCCUAUAGCUCAGUUGGUUAGAGCACUUGACUCAUAAUCAAGUUGUCCCUGGUUCGAGCCCAGGUGGGACCA